UAGUUCAGUGCUACAACAUAUGCUUCACAUGUAUAAGACUCUGGGUUCAAUUCCCUG
rnacentral:tRNA from 1 species